GUUAAUCACAAAUGAUGAUUAACCUUGUAUUGAAUUAAUUAUUAUUUGUUUAUCAAGUUAUACUUAUACAUUUGAUUAAUGAAUAAUUAACUGACUAAUCUCUCAACAGUUAGUUAACAUUAACUAAAACUAAUAUUAACUAAAAUCUAUUUCUGGGCCGGCUUCAUGCUGUGGCCUUUUUAUGAGCCCAAUCUGCUUUCUGGGAUAUUUCUUCAAGUACACAUGAGUUAUCCAUAAAUGAUAACCAAGUCCUUCAUUUAACUUGUUUUAUUUAACCAACUAUCCUUGUGUUUUCAACUAUUGAAAAACAUUUGGAUAUUUAUAAGCCAGUCCUUUGAUAAGUUAAUUUAAUAGGUUUUGUAGUAACCUUUUAUUUAUUUUUAUUACGCUUAGGUCCUUAGUUCAUGUUUAUUGUAACUUGUUGUUUUAACCCUGGAUUUCAGCAUAAUAAUCUUAUACUCCCCCCUCAAGCUUUGGAAUAUGCAUUGUGGAUUCCUAGCUUGACAGAGAAUGCUGAGAUCUCAUUCUCUCCUAGAGAUUUGGUGAAGAUAUCUGCAAGUUGGUAUUUAGUACCUACUUGUUUUAGCAAAAUUAUUCCUUUAUCUAUCAUUUCUCUAAUGGAAUGACAUGAGAUCUCUAUAUGCUUACUUCUCUCAUGAAAUACUGGAUUAUUAGCAAGGUAUAUUGCUGAUUUAUUGUCACAGUAUAGAGAAGUUGGCAUCUGUAUUUCCAACUUUAAAUCUUUAAAAAGUUGGUGUAGCCAAAGCACUUCACAUUGUGCUUUACUGAUGGCUCUGUAUUCAGCCUCACAAGAUGAGAGUGAAACAGUAUUUUGUUUCUUGGAUUUCCAAGAAAUUAAUGAUGUUCCUAAGAACAUGCAAUAUCCUGAUAAUGAUUUUCUGCUAAUUGAGCAAGAAGCCCAAUCUGAGUCACAAUAUCCAUGAAGAUUCAUUUGAUUUUGACUCUUAUACAGGAUGCCUUGGCCAGGGGCAUUUUUGAGGUAUCUUAUCACCUUAAACAAAACUUGAAGGUGAAUUUCAUUGGGAUUUCCCAUGAACUGGCUCAGCCAAUGAACCGGGAAACUUAGGUCAGGUCUAGUGAUAUUCAAGUAUAUGAGUUUACCCACUAGUGACCUAUAUAGAGUUGGGUCUGUUAGAUCCUUUGCUUGUUCAUUUCUUAAAUUUACAUACCUCUCCAUAGGUACUUUUGAUGGCUUUGCAUCCAUUUGGCCACUUUCUUCUAGUAUGCCUAAUGCAUAUUUUCUUUGUGAUAUAUAUAUACCUUCUGAUGGGUAUGAAACCUCAAUUCCUAAGAAAUAGGACAAUUUUCCUAAAUCCUUAAUUUUGAAGUUUUUUUCAAUAUUUUUUUUUAUUAGAAACAUUUCUGUCUCAUUGUUCCCUGUAAUGAUAAUAUCAUCUACAUAUACUAGUAGAUAUAUCAUAUUGUCAUUGUUUGUUUUCACAAACAAUGAAUAAUCAGAAGGUGUUUGUACAAAACUCAUCUCAAGUAAAACUCCCUUCAACUUAGCAAACCAGUUUCUGGAUGCCUGUUUUAAGCCAUAGAGAGAUUUAUUUAGUUUACACACCCUUUUGUCUCCUUCACUGAGGAGCCCCUGGGGUGGUUUGAGAUAUACUUCUUCAUGAAGAUCUCCAUAGAGGAAGGCAUUAUUAACAUCUAGUUGAUAGAUGUUCCAUUUCUUAAUUGCUGAAAUUGCAAUUAUAGUUUUAAUUGUGGUCAUUUUGACUACUGGGGCAAAUGUUUCAUAGUAGUCAAAUCCUUCUUUUUGAGUGAACCCUUUUGCUACAAGUCUAGCCUUGUAUCUCUCUAUUUCACCAUUUGGCUUAUGCUUAAUUUUAAAAACCCACUUGGAGCCUAUAAGCUUCCUAUCAUGAGGAAGUGUGGUUAAAGUCCAAGUUUCAUUUAAAAGAAGUGCAUCCAUUUCUUUCUUCAUUGCUUCUACCCAAUUUGGGUUCUUAGAAGCUUCUGAGAAGGUUUGAGGUUCAUCAUGAAUUGAUAUUUGAUGAAGAAAUUUUUUAUGAUUUUUUUUAAUUUUAUGGUAUGAUACUUGAUUACAUAUUGGGUAUUUCCCUCUUUUGUUGUUAUUUCCAUAUUCCUUGUCAUUUUCAAGAAAAAAAUCCUUGUAAGCUUCUGGAAUAUGGAUUACCCUGCCUGUUCUUGUUUUCUUUUCAAUUAUUUCUAUUGGGUUUUUUGAAAAUAUGCAGGGAACAUUUUCUUUUUGUUUAAGACAAUCUCCUGUAAUUUCAGGUGUAUUGUUCUGUUUUUCUAUUGAUGUUCCUGUAUCUGAUGAUCUUAUGUCAUCAUUCUGAACAUUUUCAGAAUAGAGAGAAGUUUGAUCAUUCUGAACAUUUGCUGAAUUUUUUUCAUUAUGUUCAGAAUUUUUGAUGUUUUGUGAGUUAUGAUUUAACUCAACAGAAUCAUGACUAGGUGUAUGAAUUAGUCCUAUAUCUGAUGAUCUUAUGUCAUCAUUCUGAACAUUUUCAGAAUAGAGGGAAGUUUGAUCAUUCUGAACAUUUACUGAAUUUUUUUUAUUAUAUUCAGAAUUUUUGAUAUUUUGUGAGUUAUGAUUUAACUCAACAGAAUCAUGACUAGGUGUAUGAAUUAGUGAAUCAUAUAAUUCAUACUGUCCUGGAUUCAUUUGAUCAUUUUUUGAUCUGUAUUCUGAGUUUUGGGCAGUAUUUCCAGAAUUUCUGGUAUUCUGUGAAUUGUGGUUUAACUCAAUACAUUUAUUGUUUUUUUUUUGCUCACACUGAUAUUUUUCAUAUGUUUAGACAUAUGAACUUGUGAGUUAUAUUUUUCAGAUUGUUUUGGGUUUGUUUGAUCAUUUUUUGAACUAUUUUCUGAAUUAUUUUCCAGAAUGUAAUGAUCAUCAUUCCCUGAUCUUAUUUCCAGAACACUGGUUUCUUUUUUAUUUUUGUUUUGAUGAUGCCUUUUAUAGUCAUACCAUGACUUAUUUACAUCAUCAUGAUAUAAAAAAAUAUUAUUAUAGCAAUUUUGAAAUUUAUUUUCUUUUUGUGUUUCUUCUAGAUUAAGAUCAUCUUUGAAUGGGAAUAUUGACUCUCUAAAUGAGACAUCCCUAGAGACAAUGAAUUUUCUAUCUGAAACUCUUAAUAUAAGAUAUCCUUUAAUACCUUUGGGAUAUCCCAUAAAGAUCCCUUGACAAGUUUUUGGUGAAAACUUGUUUUCCAUUUGUGUGACUGAGGCAUAGCAUAGGCAACCAAAUGAUUUCAAAUUUUCGUAAUUUGGUAUUUUUUUAUGAAUUAUUUCAUAAGGUGUUUUGUUUUCUAAGGUCUUGGAGGGAAUUCUAUUAAUUAAAUAGGCUGCUGUUAGAAUGCACUCCCCCCAAUAUUCUAAUGGAAUAUUUCCUUGGAAAUGUAGUGCUCUUGCAAUGUUUAAGAGAUGCCUAUGUUUUCUUUCUACCCUUGCAUUUUGGGCAGGUGUAUAGGGGCAUGAGAAUUGUUGAACAAUUCCAUGUUUUUCAGUCAUUUUUUUAAAAAUGUUAGAAGUGAAUUCUCCCCCAUUAUCACUUCUAAUAGUUUUGAUUUUGGUUUUGAACUGUGUUUUAACCAUUUUGUAAAACUUCUCAAUACAUUCUAUUGCCAUCGAUUUGUUUUUAAUUAGAUAUAUCCAAGUACCUCUACUUAGAUCUUCCACAAUAGUUAAGAAAUAAUUAAACCCAUCAUGGGUCAUUAUGGGAAAUUUUCCCCAUAUAUCUAUGUGGAUUAAAUCAAAAAUAUUUUCAGAUUUGGAACUACUAAUUGCAUAUUUGAGUUUAGCUUGCUUGGCUAAUGGACAUAUUCUACAAUCAUAUUGAAUCGAAUUUAUUUUAUUGAAAACUGAAUUUUUAUCAACAAUCUCAUUCCUACAAUCUGGAAUUUUUUUGUUCUUAUUACAAUCUGAACUAUCAUUAUUACAAUCUGUUUUUUUGUAUCUAAUUUUGUAUUGAGAAACUAAUGUCUUCAUUUUUUCAGAAGAAAUGUGUCCCAAUCUUUGAUCCCAAGUCUUGAAGUCAAUGGCUGAAUUUGUUAAAAAAUGAUGAGGGGUGAAAAAAUAUAGUCCAUCCGUAGACUCACCCUUGCCAAUCACUUUCUCGGAUUUGUUUUCCUGAAAUUGAAAGCAAUGAUCAUUAAAUAUUACUUUAAUGUCAUUGUCUAAGGUUAACUUGCUUAUAGCUAUUAGAUUAACCUUAAAUUCAGGAAUAUACAACACAUUUUUUAAAAUCAGAUUUUCAGAUAUUUUUAUACAACCCAUUCCUUGAACCAUCAAUAUUUUGCCACUAGGUAUAGUCACAAAAUGGUUAUAUUCUUUAACUAAUGGGUUGGUGAAUAGAUGUAAAUUACCAGUCAUGUGUUGUGAUGCUCCGGUAUCUACUAUCCAUCUAUCAAUAUAAUUAUUUGUAUUGAAAGAAAAAGAAAAAUUAUUACCAGUGUUUGACUUUGUUGAAGAGAUAAGUUCCUUGAAUAAUUGGAUCUCUUCUUGACUUAGCACUAGUUGUUGACUANNNNNNNNNNNNNNNNNNNNNNNNNNNNNNNNNNNNNNNNNNNNNNNNNNNNNNNNNNNNNNNNNNNNNNNNNNNNNNNNNNNNNNNNNNNNNNNNNNNNUUUGCAAAUUCUGAAACAGUGGUAUUACUGCCCUGGUUUUUCUUUGGUUGAAUUUUCUUUUGAAAUUUUUCUUUUCCUGGUUUGCCUACUAAAUGAUAACACUUUUCCCUUGUAUGACCAUAAUACUUACAGUUAUCACAGUAGAAUCUAGUAUCGAGUUUCUUUCCAUUUUUAGAGUACAUACCCUUUGUUCCUUCUACUGGAUUCUUAUCUUUUACAUAAAAGGCAGAUUCAGUAUUUUUCUCAUUGGUGUGUUCUCUGAAUUUACAUCUCUGUUUUUCCUCUUGAAUAACUAAUCCUAGAACCUUAUUCAUGUUUGGUAAUUUUUCUAAUGAAAGAAUUUGGGUUCUAAGAUUAAAAAAGUUUUCAUUCAGUCCUAACAAGAACUGAUGAAUCAUAUCAUUCUCUUCUUUUUCUUGGUAGAGUUUCUUGCAUGACAUACAAAAUUUUUCCUUAAUUUCAUCAAUCUGUACCAAUUGAUCCCAAAUGGAUCUGAAUUUGUCAUAAAAUUCAGAUGAAGGCAAUGAUCCUUGUUGUAGACAACAUAGUUCGUAUUUAAUUUGAUUUAUCUUGGGAGCAUUCCCUUGUUUAUAUCUAUUCUCUAGAUCUAACCAUACUUGAUGGGCAUCAUUGGUAUACAUGAUAGUAGAUUGUAUUUGGGGAGAUACUGAAUUUAACAACCAUGCAAGAACUAAUCCAUUAACUAUCUUCCAUAUGUUAUAUUCCCUACUAGCAAAAUCUGUGGGCAUUGUAAUCUGUCCAGUAAUGAAAGCAUCCUUUCUUCUUGAAACCAAUGAGACUUUCAUCCCAUUGGACCAAGUUAUAUAGUUGGAUUCACCAACUAAUCUAUCUGGAACUAAUACUGCCCCCGGGUGAUCACCGGAGGUUAAAAAAAAUGGUGAUUCUGGAUUUUGUAAAGGAGAGAUGUACCUUUCCGAUUUGUGCCUUUUAAAAAAGGAACCUUGGUACAAACCUUCUUGAUAAUUGCUUGGUCGAGAUUUUGCUGUCGACCCAGAAGAGGAUUCGCUAGAUGCUGCUGGAGUCACUAUCGGAUUAAGCGGUUGUACAGCAGGAAGAGUUGCGGCUAGAUUUGCCUGAAGCAUUGCGGAAAUGGCUGGCUGGUUGACCGGAGGAGCGCCAGGACGAUUGACGGCUGAUACCAUAUUAUUUUCCUGCAUAGUGGGUGCCGCUGGUGACAAUGCAGAUGAUUCCUCAUACCUGGGAUGAGAGAAAUGUAAUGGGGUUGCCAUUCAGAGGCUAGGGUUUUCCGCCUGUAUGAAAAGGGGCAACUAACUACUAAAACUGUCACUAAGAAGAAGAGUUGAGAGAGAGUGGUUUAGUUAAUCACAAAUGAUGAUUAACCUUGUAUUGAAUUAUAUUAUCUGUUUAUCAAGUUAUACUUAUACAUUUGAUUAAUGAAUAAUCAACUGACUAAUCUCUCAACAGUUAGUUAACAUUAACUAAAACUAAUAUUAACUAAAAUCUAUUUCUGGGCCGGCUUCAUGCUGUGGCCUUUUCAUGAGCCCAAUCUGCUUUCUGGGAUAUUUCUGCAAGCACACAUGAGUUAUCCAUAAAUGAUAACCAAGUCCUUUAUUUAACUUGUUUUAUUUAACCAACUAUCCUUGUGUUUUCAACUAUUGAAAAACACUUGGAUAUUUAUAAGCCAGUCAUUUGAUAAGUUAAUUUAAUAGGUUUUGUAUUAACCUUUUAUUUAUUUUUAUUACGCUUAGGUCCUUAGUUCAUGUUUAUUGUAACUUGUUGUUUUAACCCUGGAUUUCAGCAUAAUAAUCUUAUACUCCCCCCUCAAGCUUUGGAAUAUGCAUUGUGGAUUCCUAG
rnacentral:lncRNA from 1 species